rnacentral:lncRNA from 1 species
CUUUGAAGAGCAGUGAGCCUUGGGACCUUAAGAACCUAUUUAUCAUGAUAAGCCAGUAGAUGUAAAUUUCUCCUCCACCUCGUAUGCAUAGUAAGAUCUCCAAUCCUCUCGAAAGGUACUCAGGUAUGCUUAACAAAAGAUGUAGAAAAAAUUAUUUCUCAUGGGAGAUGGGGAGUAUAGAGAUGAUCCUAGAACCUAUAACGAGACGAUGUACGACAUCGACUCCAAAAAAAGGAUAUGAAAUAGCUUUCCUGAGAAAAGAUCUUUUGAAGAUUUCUAUAUGGAAUAGCCUAUGAAUUUCACUUCUUGUGAUAGGAUAUCACA